rnacentral:tmRNA from 1 species
CUAAGUAUGUAGAACUGCCUGUAGAGUGCUUGCGGACGCGGGUUCAAUUCCCGCCGUCUCCACCA